rnacentral:rRNA from 1 species
UACAGAGGGUGCAAGCGUUGUUCGGAAUUAUUGGGCGUAAAGGGCGCGUAGGCGGUGCUGUAAGUCGGGUGUGAAAUCUUGGAGCUUAACUCCGAAACUGCAUUCGAUACUGCCGUGCUUGAGGACUGGAGAGGAGACUGGAAUUUACGGUGUAGCGGUGAAAUGCGUAGAUAUCGUAAGGAAGACCAGUGGCGAAGGCGGGUCUCUGGACAGUUCCUGACGCUGAGGCACGAAGGCCAGGGGAGCAAACGGG